AAAAUUUGAAUUGAACAUAUUUUUGUAGACAUACAAAAAUGGUCUGCAUUUUUUACAUCGCCCUGGCAUCCAAUUCAAACUAUAUUUUCUGCUUAAACUGUUGCGUACCCAUGAGAUCAUGGGAUAACUCAGACAUGAGCCGGUGUCCAGUGCGCAGUUGGGUGCAUUAUUUGGUGACAUCCAAUGCUAACUGAUUUUUCAAGGCCACCCAGUGGAGUGAGGGUGAGUAGUGUGGCAUCAGCCUACCGUUUAUUUAGCUGGUUCUAGGAUCUCCUUUGUUGCUGCAUCUUGAUCUCCUGCUUUGCUGUAACUAUGUUCUGCUGCUUGAUUUUUGCUUCCUUUCUUUCUAGCUACAUGCUUAUUCUUUCUAGCCACAUGCAUGUUUUCCUUUUGCUGUGGGAAAUAGUUCAGUUAUAUUUAUCAGUAGCAUCUCUAUGUUUAUAGAUACAUACUAGGAACGUGCUUAUUUAGUGUGGCCUUCUCUUUUUUAUGCAAGAAGUGUGCCUUAUCUAAUCUGACAAUCAUCUUAUUUGUUGUUCUAAAUAAUUACUGCAGGAUGGAGCAGCAGGCAUAGAUGAAAUCUACUGCCAAUUUCUAUUGGUUGCGGCAUCUUCCGCUGAGUAACUCUACAAAACAGCCCGCUAGCAUUGAUUCUUGCAAUAAAAAAAGUCUGGCAUCAUUCAUAAAAAGCUUAUAGACAUAGAUAAUUUCUUAAUCCUGCACUGCUUCUCACCAGUGAGAUUGUAGAUGUGGUAUUUUGAGAAUACCAGUGUAAUUCACUGGUCCAAAAGCUCCAUUUCUUAAUGUGUUUUUGCAGAAUGCUACCAGUAAUGUUUUUCUUUUCCUUAAUGUACAAACAUAUCUACUAGAUAUGAUUUUGGAUCUGAACUUUUCCCUGUCUGCAGCUCACAUUGUGGUAUGGUCAUGGUACAGCAAAAGGAAAAGAUGUUUAAACUUUUUUUGGGCGUCAUACAUGAAAAGUACCUUUAUUUCCAUCGAGCUUAAUUACUAAGAAAAUGUUACCACUAUUUCCUUACUAAUAAACCUAAAUGUUCUGAAAGUUCGGUCUCUUGCUCUCUUUGCUUAUGAAUCGGACACUUUCCCUUUCUUUAGUCCUUACACGGUUCCACCUCGCUUUGACGUCAUACUUUGAUGGUGUUUGUAGGUAUGAAGACUUGAAGAGUGGUCAUAAUGUUACUUAAAGGAGGCCUCAACUUGCACCAAAUACAUGGGCAUGUGCAACAGCAACUUAUGUAGGUGAGUAGGUAUUUAUGCUUAGUUUUGACUUGAGUACAAAAAAGAGCUUGCUGACAUAUACAAGAGAAUAGGCUACCCAUUCUUGAAUUGAAUCAGAUUGGUAGACUAAACCACUGUGGUGUACUCUUCGCUGCUGAGUUAUUACAAUCCAACUGAAAAUAAGGGGAAAACAAACAUGAUCCUGCCAUUUAAAUUAUCUCAUGUUUGUGGAGAAAAGUUGCAUAGUUAGCUAUUGCAAAAUACUAUCAACCCAGUUUUUGUUCAAUAGACGUCCCUUCUUCAAAUGUAGCUUGAACCUGCGCAAGGGCAUGGUAGCAUGCUCAUUCUAUUUUUUUUACUAAGGUGGUUACACUUCCCUACUUUUUGCUAAAAGAGAGUCAAUUUUGUCAUGAGCUAUUGCGGCGUUUCUGUUUACUGAAUUUCGUUUUGCAGUUCCCUUCUCUUGAAUGUUUAUUCAAAUGUGCCUAAUGUUUUUUUAGGUUUCUAAAAACUAAUAAAUGCUGCUCUCAAAUCAGUUAGGAGGCUGAAGGUAGUAGCUUACUGAACUCUCAUUUCCGGAAAAAUUUGGAGAUGUCUUGGUAUGGAGUUUCAUGAUCAACUUGCUCUGGCAUAGUUAGUCUUUCUAGACUAAUUGUUUGUCAGUAUCUAUUCUAUACAUGUGUUUGAUUGGUUGUGCAAACAUGCAUGCAUUGUUCUGUGUGGAAAUUGCUUUAUCCGGUCUGUUCUAUAGCAAUGUUUCCAGUGGCUGUUUAGCACAUAUAUUUAGAUAGUUGCAUACGCAUGCUUGUUUCUGCCAGAAAAUUAUCUUACCUGAUAUGUUUUCAGAUGCUAUUUGGUAUACAUGUUUGUCUUUGUCAUGUUUAUGUUGAGUUGUGGGUUCCAAAGGUAUUUAUGAUGAUCGUUUGCAUGGUGGGUCAUGUCAGCGAUGUGCAUUGCAUAUUCAUGAUUCAAACUCUUUGUUGGGUAUAGAUCUAUAUGAAGUUGUUUUUGAAUGGCCCAUGAUUCGUUUUUUAUUAGUAUUUUAGUUUAAGCAUUUCUCCAGAGAAUCUUGAUAUCCAGCUGUAUAUAUAUCCAGUCAUGUUUUUUUACUCUGACCAAUUUCUUUUUUUGUUUUACAGUUUGUACAAUCUCUAAAGAUGGUGCUCCAUUGUUNNN
rnacentral:lncRNA from 1 species